ensembl:snoRNA SNORA62 Small nucleolar RNA SNORA62/SNORA6 family
AAUGCACUCUGUUAAAGCCGGGCACUGAUGUCGGUGUUCAGGUGUCGGAAGUGUGCAAGAGUGAUCUGGCUGGGUUUUCGCUGACACCACGAGGACUGCAGUCCCAUGACUGGCGUUUGAUAGCAACUUGAGCCACAGUU